rnacentral:rRNA from 1 species
GACGAACGCUGGCGGCGUGCUUAACACAUGCAAGUCGAACGGAAAGGCCCUGCUUGCAGGGUGCUCGAGUGGCGAACGGGUGAGUAACACGUGGGUGAUCUGCCCCUUACUUUGGGAUAAGCCUGGGAAACUGGGUCUAAUACUGGAUAGGACCAUGCUGUAGGUGGUGUGGUGGAAAGAUUAGUUUCGGUAAGGGAUGAGCUCGCGGCCUAUCAGCUUGUUGGUGGGGUAAUGGCCUACCAAGGCGUCGACGGGUAGCCGGCCUGAGAGGGUGGACGGCCACAUUGGGACUGAGAUACGGCCCAGACUCCUACGGGAGGCAGCAGUGGGGAAUAGUGCACAAUGGGCGCAAGCCUGAUGCAGCGACGCCGCGUGGGGGAUGACGGCCUUCGGGUUGUAAACUCCCUUCAGCCAUGACGAAGCCCUUGUGGUGACGGUAGUGGUAGAAGAAGCACCGGCUAACUACGUG